CAACACUUCUGCUCUUGCGCAGUUGUCAUCUUCGAGCCUUGCUCUCUCACCUGAGGAAGAGGUGUUCCAGUCCAAUAACGGAGAGCCAGAUACAAUGAAACGAGCUGCCGCCGCGAAAAGAAUCGAACGCUACUUCUAUCAGCUUACAGAUGGUUGUGGCAAUGAAAACUGCAGCAACAAAUUUUGUGCUUCUAGUGGAAAGUAAGUCUAAGGACCGUUAGAAUUUUUAGAAUUUAUUUAUUUAUCUAUCUAAAAAACAUAUUAACAGAAAUACAACUUCAGCACUAGGGACUAUCCCCACGCCUAUAAGUGUGGCGUAGUAAACAAAUAUGAUGUAAACUGCAAAAAAAAAAAAAAAUAUAUAUAUACAAGAAAAAGGACCAUAAAGGGACACUCCUAGACACUCCUUUCUUCUACAUGCUAAUGCAUUUAUAGAGUUUUCAAUCCAAUUGGACCUAAUGAUUUUUUUCCCUUAAUCUUGAGCACAGUCCAUCAUGUUUUAGCAGAAAAUGAAAACGUUUUUCUCUUUCUUUUCAGGCUCCAUCAUUGAAGCCAAACCAAGCUGCUGUUCUAGCCCUUGAAUUAUUCAAAGAAGACUCUCCUCUGUGCGAGUAUCACCCAGCAAAAAUUCCUAGAACUCAAGAGGCAGGAGACCUCACGCCUGAAUCAUUUGUCUCCUCACUAUCAAACGUUAUCGAGUCUGCCAGCUCCAGUGAGAAAAAAGUUCCUUCUGCUUCAAGUGAGCCUGAUGUCGGAGAAUCUUUGACUCCGACAACGUCCUCAAUACACCCACCACAAAGACACAAACCAAACAACUUCACCAUCUGUCUCUGACAAGGACUGCACCAAAAAAAAAUACUUGACUGAAAAAAUCCUUCAUGAUAUAUUGGAAACUUGCAAAGAAACAAAUUCAUACUCAGCCCUCCGAGUGUCAUUAUAUCAAGUUUUCUCUGAGCCAGAAUGUUUGUAUCAAAGCUUCUUGAAGUCUGAUUCUGAGCCAGCCAAAUCAGAACUGUACCCUAAUUUGAAGAAGGAAGAGGUUCGAGAGCUGGAAGGUGAAAUGGAGAAAGACCAGGACAGCGUGGCUGUCGGGAAAGGAGAAAUAGAAUCAUGUUCUGAUUAUUUAGCUGUUGAUAUUGCAUCAUUGAGACGAGCGUACAAGGAGCUAUCAUCUGUUCCUGCCUCUGAGUUUGAAGAUGCUAUCGUGUUUGCACUUUUGACCUUGGCAGGUAAUUUAGUUUCCUCUUAUGUUUUUGGAGUUAGACGGAAACUCAUUUAUCGUAAGGGAAAUUGAAUCGGGACUUGCGAAAACUGAUAAUGUCCAUUUUUCCAGUCUUCGGUUUUUUGAGUUGAUAAUACUUUUCGGAGUUGUUGCAACUAUGAAAGUGGCGUUAGUACUCUUCUCCAAAUUACCAUAAUCCCAAAAUGAGUCCUUUCAUCACUUUUAUGGUUGUAUCAACUCUUUAAAAGUAUUAUCAACUCCAAAAAACUGAAGACUGGAAAAACGGACAUCAUCGGUUUUCGCACGUCCCAAUUCAAUUGAUAUGAAUGUUUUUUUCCCUUGUUUUUGUAAAUGUGAAUGCCUC
rnacentral:lncRNA from 1 species